CGGCGGCGGCGGUGGCGCGGCCUCACUCGGCGGAGCGGCUCUUGUAGCUCUGCAGGUGGGACAGCACCCAGCCCGAGGGGACCAUGAAGCUGAGGAAGGUCACCACGAGCGCCGCAGCCUGCU